rnacentral:lncRNA from 1 species
AGUAACAUUAAAAAAAGAGGAGACAAAUAUACAAUGAAAGAGAAGAUUCUACAAAAAAGACUGAUUUUCAAGCUUGAAAUAUAUAUUUGAGGUGAGACUUACAUGCCAAGCAACAGAGCUAAAAUUAACAUUCAACAUAGAGAGACUAGGAAAUACAGUAGCAUAAUAUCUAUGCAUUAUGCUACAGAGGCAUAAUAGAGAGAAUGGUAUCAACAUAUAAUGCUAAUGAUUAGAGUCAUCAUGUGAUUGUGAAGUAUGUGACUCAUCCCCUGCCACCUUUUCCUUGCUAAACAUUUGUCUUCCUGCUUGAACAAAUUGGCUCAUUAUCUUAGCUUUGAUUUGGCCUCUUUUUGGAGGAGCUCUAACUGUCUUAGUUAUUGAUUCAACAUUUCCAUUUGUUUUUGGCAUUGUUUCAAAUGAAGGAGUUUUUUUUUAGAAUAAGAAGUAGCAGGACAGAAGAAGCUAGAAGAGAAUUUAAGCCAAAGACAAAUUAAAGAGUAAAAGAAAACAUGAAAAUAAGUGUUUGUGGGGGGCAAAAGUGUAAGGCAUGC